rnacentral:rRNA from 1 species
UACGUAGGUGGCGAGCGUUGUCCGGAUUUAUUGGGUUUAAAGGGUGCGUAGGCGGUCCUAUAAGUCAGUGGUGAAAUAUCGCAGCUCAACUGUGAGGGUGCCAUUGAUACUGUAGGACUUGAGUGAAUUUGAGGUAGGCGGAAUUGACGGUGUAGCGGUGAAAUGCUUAGAUAUCGUCAAGAACACCGAUAGUGAAGACAGCUU